AUUGAACGCUGGCGGCAGGCCUAACACAUGCAAGUCGAGCGGAUGAAGGGAGCUUGCGCCUGGAUUCAGCGGCGGACGGGUGAGUAAUGCCUAGGAAUCUGCCUGGUAGUGGGGGAUAACGUCCGGAAACGGGCGCUAAUACCGCAUACGUCCUGAGGGAGAAAGUGGGGGGUCUUCGGACCUCACGCUAUCAGAUGAGCCUAGGUCGGAUUAGCUAGUUGGUGGGGUAAAGGCCUACCAAGGCGACGAUCCGUAACUGGUCUGAGAGGAUGAUCAGUCACACUGGAACUGAGACACGGUCCAGACUCCUACGGGAGGCAGCAGUGGGGAAUAUUGGACAAUGGGCGAAAGCCUGAUCCAGCCAUGCCGCGUGUGUGAAGAAGGUCUUCGGAUUGUAAAGCACUUUAAGUUGGGAGGAAGGGCAGUAAGUUAAUACCUUGCUGUUUUGACGUUACCAACAGAAUAAGCACCGGCUAACUUCGUG
rnacentral:rRNA from 1 species